rnacentral:rRNA from 1 species
AUUGAACGCUGGCGGCAGGCUUAACACAUGCAAGUCGAGCGGAGCGAGGGUGCUUGCACCUUAGCUUAGCGGCGGACGGGUGAGUAAUGCUUAGGAAUCUGCCUAUUAGAGGGGGACAACAUUCCGAAAGGAAUGCUAAUACCGCAUACGCCCUACGGGGGAAAGCAGGGGAUCUUCGGACCUUGCGCUAAUAGAUGAGCCUAAGUCGGAUUAGCGAGUUGGUGGGGUAAAGGCCUACCAAGGCGACGAUCUGUAGCGGGUCUGAGAGGAUGAUCCGCCAACCUGGGACUGAGACACGGCCCAGACUCCUACGGGAGGCAGCAGUGGGGAAUAUUGGACAAUGGGCGGAAGCCUGAUCUAGCCAUGCCGCGUGUGUGAAGAAGGCCUUUUGGUUGUAAAGCACUUUAAGCGAGGAGGAGGCUCUUAAGGUUAAUACCCUUGAUGAGUGGACGUUACUCGCAGAAUAAGCACCGGCUAACUCUGUGCCAGCCGCCGCAGUAAUAC